GUGAUUCUACGAACUUCCAGUGUUCAAAUGACUGCAAAUUCCCUAUAUCCAAAAACAGAAAGCUGUUAUUUGACUGUGUUCGCGACUGCAAGAUGAUCAAGCAAGCCUGUGUAUUAGAAUGUGCUGACGAAGGAGGUACGGAAGUAAAAUCAACUAAACAAAAUGGUGGCGGUGCUGGUAAAAAAGAGGCUAGGCGCCGAAACAAAACUAGACCUACUAAAAAGCAAAAGCUCUCACGCAAAAAGAAAACUAAGACUGAAGAAAAAGAAGCGGGUGUAGAGGAGCCAGAAUAUAACAUAGAGCUAAACCAGUCAGAACCUUGGUGGAAGGGAGAGCACGGCGGGUGGGGCUGGCUUCUAGAGCUGAUGGAAUUGUGAUGCAUGUGAUGGCUUUUGAAGAGCCUUUACUACAGCAACACGAUUUCCAAUUCCCAAUCCAUUACCUCCAACUCGCGGGCGAGGUGGACCUAGAAGCCAUGUUUCCUUUUCUUUGAUGCUGUGUACAUCGACGUUUUAUUGUAUCUGUUGUAUAAAUCCAAUAUCCAUUGACGAUUGUGUACUUAAUAUUUCACUAAAUUACAGAGAUGAAUGUUUUUUAGAAACACAUUUUUCAGGGAAUUAUGUAUUAUGCAUUUAUCAUAUGGUUAUAUUUUUGCUGAUUUUCAAUUGGAACAAUAAAAUGGGAGA